UACAGGGGGUGCAAACGUUGCUCGGAAUCAUUGGGCGUAAAGCGCACGUAGGCGGUUCGUUAUGUCGGAUGUGAAAGCCCUUGGCUUAACCGAGGAAGUGCAUCCGAAACUGGCGAGCUAGAGUACUAAAGAGGAUCGCGGAAUUCCCGGUGUAGAGGUGAAAUUCGUAGAUAUCGGGAAGAACACCCGUGGCGAAGGCGGCUCUCUGGGACGGUACUGACGCUGAGACGCGAAAGCGUGGGAGCGAACAGG
rnacentral:rRNA from 1 species